rnacentral:rRNA from 1 species
UGGCGGACGGGUGGGUAAUGUCUGGGAAACUGCCCGAUGGAGGGGGGUAACUACUGGAAACGGUAGCUAAUACCGCAUAACGUCGCAAGACCAAAGAGGGGGACCUUCGGGCCUCUUGCCAUCGGAUGUGCCCAGAUGGGAUUAGCUAGUAGGUGGGGUAACGGCUCACCUAGGCGACGAUCCCUAGCUGGUCUGAGAGGAUGACCAGCCACACUGGAACUGAGACACGGUCCAG